rnacentral:rRNA from 1 species
CACACCGCCCGUCACACCAUGGGGGUUGAUUGCUCCAGAAAUGACUUGUCUAACCGCAAGGAGGACGGUCCUUAAGGAGUGCUCAAUGACUGGGGUGAAGUCGUAACAAGGUACCC